rnacentral:rRNA from 1 species
UACAGAGGCCUCGAGCGUUAGGCGGAAUCACUGGGCUUAAAGCGUGUGUAGGCGGACUUCUAAGUACCUUGUGAAAUCCCACGGCUUACCCGUGGAACGGCUGGGUAUACUGGGGAGUCUUGAGCCACCUAGGGGCUACCGGAACAAAUGGUGGAGCGGUGAAAUGCGUAGAUAUCAUUUGGAACGCCAAUGGUGAAAACAGGUAGCUGGGGAUGUGCUGACGCUGAGACACGAAAGCCAGGGGAGCGAACGGG